rnacentral:rRNA from 1 species
AGUGAACGCUGGCGGUAGGCCUAACACAUGCCAGUCGAACGCAGCACAGUAAGAGCUUGCUCUUACGGGUGGCGAGUGGCGGACGGGUGAGGAAUACAUCGGAAUCUACUUUUUCGUGGGGGAUAACGUAGGGAAACUUACGCUAAUACCGCAUACGGCCUACGGGUGAAAGCAGGGGAUCUUCGGACCUUGCGCGAUUGAAUGAGCCGAUGUCGGAUUAGCUAGUUGGCGGGGUAAAGGCCCACCAAGGCGACGAUCCGUAGCUGGUCUGAGAGGAUGAUCAGCCACACUGGAACUGAGACACGGUCCAGACUCCUACGGGAGGCAGCAGUGGGGAAUAUUGGACAAUGGGCGCAAGCCUGAUCCAGCCAUACCGCGUGGGUGAAGAAGGCCUUCGGGUUGUAAAGCCCUUUUGUUGGGAAAGAAAAGCAGCAGGUUAAUACCCCGCUGUUCUGACGGUACCCAAAGAAUAAGCACCGGCUAACUUCGUG